ACCUUGUCGGAGGAGGAAUCCGAAAGUGGAUAUAGGUCACAUUGACCGAACCACUCUAAAUUCUAGUUUGCUUUUCAUUUAUGCAAUUUACAUUACUGCAAACCUCCUUAAUCUUCUCUUGCACUUUUACGAAAGCUUUCAAGUUCAACUUCUCUCCGAAACAAAUUGAAUCGAAACCAUUUUCGUCGGAAUCGAUUUUAAUUGAAACGAAUAUUUUUUCUGAAAUCGCGAAAGUUUUCCGCUGCACUAAUUCACCCCCCCUCUUAGUGCCGCUCUUGAUCCUAACAGUUGGUACCAGAGCUAGGUUCACUCUCAUUUGGUUUUAAACCCAAGAGAGAUGGCAUUUACCGGCAACCUAGAGGGUCAUUCAAUUACACGUUCGCCCAUGUUCAAUGGGACGGAUUACACAUAUUGGAAGACUAGAAUGUAGAUCUUCGUAAUUUCAAUGGAUUUUGAAUUAUGGAAUAUUGUAGAAAAUGAGUUUCAAAAGUCUUCUCUUCCAAUGAAUGAUUGGAAUGAGUUGGAGAAGAAGACUUUCACUUUAAACGCAAAAGCUAUGAAUGUCUUGUUUUGUGCCUUAGAUAAAAACGAGUUUAAUCGUGUGUUCAUUUGUGAAACUGUUUUUGAUAUUUGGCACACACUCGAAGUGACUCAUAAAGGUACUAGUAGAGUGAAGGAGUCAAAAAUUAAUCUUUUAGUGCAUACUUAUGAAUUGUUUCGAAUGAAACCGAGUGAGACCAUUGGAGACAUGUACACCCGAUUUACGGAUGUCGUCAAUGGUCUAAAAGGACUUGGUAAAGGUUUCUCGGAUUUUGAAAUUGUUAAUAAAAUUUUAAGAUCCCUUCCAAAGAGUUGAGACCCUAAAGUCAUGGUCAUUCAAGAGGUCAAAGACCUAAAUAAUUUUCCUCUUGAAGAACUAAUUAGGUUACUAAUGACCUAUGAAAUGACUUGAAAAGCUCAUGAAGAGCUUGAGGACACCCUUCCAAAGAACAGGAAGGAUAUGACACUAAAAACCCAAGAAGAUCACUUGAAAGAAAACUCAAGUGAUGAGGACCUUGAUGAAGACUUGACACUCUUAAUAAGGAAAUUCAAAAAAUUCAUAAAAAUGAACAAAUUUAAAAAUGACACAAAAAAUAAAUUUGAACCCAAGAAAGAUCAAGUAAUAUACUACGAAUGCAAGAAGUCGAGACAUUACAAGAGCGAAUGUCCCCUAGCCAAAAAAGAGGCAACCAAAGAAGAAGGCUCUUAAAGCAACAUGGGACGACUCAAGUUCAUCCGAAGAAGAGGAGCCAACCAACACCGAGCAAGUUGCUCACUAUGCGCUAAUGGCUAUUGGAGAUGAGGUAAUAAGUUCAUUUGAUGCAAAUUUAUCGUUUGAUGAACUUUUAAAUGCUUUUCAUAAUUUAUUUGAUGAAUGCAAAUUAAUUAAUAAAAAAUAUAAAUUGUUAAAAAGGGAGCAUGAUUCUCUUGUUAGUGAUUACAAUAGAUUAAAAGUUGAGCACAAUGAUAGUUUAGCUUCUUGUACGAAAUGUGAUGAAUAAUUUUACUUCAAAAAGAAAACUUGCUACUUAAGAAAACCUUAGAAAAGUUUGAGAUUGGUAGCAAAUCCUUAAACAUGAUCCUUGCCAACAAGGGUCACGUUCAUAGAAAAGGUGGAAUCAGAUUUGCGAAUAGCUCUCACCAAAAUCCAACCACCUUUGUUAAAGACCCUACUUUGCAUGUUUCACCCCGAAAGAAAUGCAACUUUUGUUGCAAAUUUGGGCAUGUAGCUUAUCAUUGUCCAUUUAAGAAAUGUAAUCCACACAAAUUGAUUUGGGUUCCUAAAAGAACCUCAAAUGACUCAAUACAACAUGAUAAGCUAUGUAGAUCGAUUUUUGAGACACCCAAGGUCAAAUGGAUACCUAAAAAUCAUCCUUUUUUGUAGAAACGUUUACCAUCACAAGCUAGGAGCAAGAGAUGGUACCUUGAUAGUGGAUGCUCAAGGCAUAUGACCGGAGAUCCAUCUCAAUUCUCUAAGCUCACUAGCAUAGACGAAGGAUAUGUCACAUUCGGAGACAACAAACAACAAGGGUAAAAUCAUUAGCAAAGGAUCCAUAGGUAACAAAUCCACCUUUUCUAUUGAAGAUAUGUUGUUAGUUGAUGGCUUAAAGCAUAACCUUUUGAGCAUUAGUCAAUUAUGUGAUAAAGGAUACAUUAUUAGAUUUGAAUCCAAUGCUUGCAUUAUUGAAAACCAUUCAAAAACACAUCUAUGAUUGCUCUAAAAUAAAAUAAUGUAUACACUAUCGACAUUAAUGAUCUUUAUAAUGAAAUGUAUUUUUCGAUUUUGAAUGACGAUGCUUGGCUUUGGCAUAGGAGAUUAGGUUAUGCAAGCAUGAAACUAAUCUUUCAAAUUUCAUCUAAAGAACUUGUGAGAAAUUUCUCACAUUAAGUUCGUCAAAGACAAUGUAUAUGAUGCAUGUCAACUAGGAAAGCAAAUAAAAAGUAGUUUCAAACCAAAGAACCAAAUAAGCACCUCUAGGCCAUUGCAAUUAAUCCAUAUGGACUUAUCGGACCAAUUGCUACAUCAAGCCUAGGAGGAAGCAAAUACGCAUUUGUCAUCAUGGAUGAUUAUAGUAGAUACACAUGGACUUACUUUUUGGCAUACAAAAGUGAUUGCUUUAGGUGUUUCUCUAAGUUUUGUAAACUUGUUCAAAACGAAAAAGGUUUUAUGAUUUCGCCAAUUCGAAGUGAUCACGAUGGUGAAUUUCAAAACCGUGAUUUCUAAGAAUUUUGUGAAUCUAAUGGAUACAACUACAACUUCUCUACUCCAAGAAAUCCUCAACAAAAUGGAGUAGUAGAAAGAAAGAAUAUAAACAUACAAGAAAUGGCUAGAACCAUGUUGAAUGAACAUAGCCUACCCAAAUAUUUUUGGGCCGAAGUCGUAAAUACGGCAUGCUAUGUCAUGAAUAGAGUUCUAGUAAGACCCUUACUCGCCAAAACUCCUUAUGAGUUGUAGAACAAUAAAAAACCCAAUGUUUCAUAUUUUAAAGUUUUUGGGUGUAAGUUUUUUAUCUUGAAUGAAAAAGAUGCCUUAGGAAAAUUUGAUGCUAAAUCCGAUGAAGAAAUUUUUCUUGGCUAUUCUUCUAUUUCUAAAGCAUUUCGUAUCUUUAACAAAAGAACUUUAAUUAUAGAAGAGUCUAUUCAUGUUGUUUUCAAUGAAGUUUCCGAAGUCAAGAAAAAUAAUUUUGAUAAUGAUGUUAAUUUUGAUGCUUUGAAUUUAAAUGAAACCCCUUCUACAUCUAGCAACUUGGAUGUAUCUUCUUCCGAAACAUCCUUACCCAAGGAAUGAAAGUAUAUAGAUGCUCAUCCUAAGGAGCUAAUCAUAUGAGACACAUCAAAAGGGAUUUAAACUCAUUCUUCUUGUAAGAAUUUUUGUGCCAACGUCGCUUUUCUCUCUCAAAUGGAACCAAAAUACAUUGACGAGGCCUUGAAAGAUGAUUCAUGGGUUAUCGCAAUGCAAGAAGAGUUGAAUCAAUUCUAGAGAAAUGAGGUAUGGAAGCUUGUUCCUAGGCCAAAUGACCAUUUAGUUAUCGGUACUAAAUGGGUCUUUAGAAAUAAGCAAGAUGAAUUUGGUCUCGUGGUUCGAAACAAGGCUAGAUUAGUGGCCAAGGGUUUCAACCAAGAAGAAUGUAUUGAUUAUGAAGAAACCUUCGCUAAGUUAUUUCAAAUGGAUGUUAAAAGUAUUUUUCUUAAUGACUUUAUUUCCUAAGAAGUUUAUGUUGAACAAUCUCCCGGAUUUGAGAAUGAUAAUCUCCCUAAUCAUGUGUUUAAAUUGAUUAAAGCUCUCUAUGGAUUGAAACAAGCCCCAAGGGCUUGGUAUGAGAAACUUAGCUCAUUUCUUAUCGAAAAUAAUUUCUCUAAAGGCAAGGUCGAUACUACAUUGUUUAUCAAAAAUUUUGAAAAUAAUUUUCUUAUUGUUCAAAUUUAUGUUGAUGAUAUUAUUUUCGGUUCCACGAAAAAUCUCUAUGGGAGUCAUUUGCUAAAAGUACGAGUCUUGAAUUUAAAAUGAGUUUGAUGCGGGAAUUAAUUUUCCUUUUAGGUUUACAAAUCAAACAACUUAGUAAUGGUAUUUUUUUUAGUCAAACAAAAUAUGUUUUAGAUUUGUUAAAAAAGUUUAAUAUGGAUAGCUCAAAGGCAAUCAACACUCCUAUGAGCACCUCCACUAAGUUAGACAUUGAUGAAAGUGGAGAAAGCUUUGAUCAAAAAGCUUAUAGGGGUAUGAUAGGAAGUUUACUAUACCUCACCACAACUAGACCGGAUAUCAUAUUUACUGUAGAACUUUAUGCUAGGUUUCAAUCUAAUCCUAAGAUAUCUCAUCUUAAAGCAGUUAAGAAAAUACUUAGAUAUCUUAAAGGAACCAUAAAUCUAGGAUUAUAGUAUCCAAAAUCCGAGAACUUUGAACUAAUUGCUUAUGCUGAUGUGGAUUUUGAUUGAUGUAGAUUAGAUAGAAAAAGCACAUCCGGAACAUGUCAAUUUUUAGGACACGCACUUAUUUCUUGGUCUUCUAAGAAACAAAACUUGGUUGCACUAUCUACAACCGAAGCUGAGUACAUUGCAGCUAGUGCAUGUUGUGCAUAAGUUGUGUGGAUGAAAAACACUUUAGAGGAUUAUAAGAUUCAUCUAAAAAACAUUCCCAUAAAAUUUGAUAACACAAAUACAAUAUAUUUAACAAAAAAUCUCAUUCAACACUCUAGAAUUAAACAUAUUGAUAUUAGAUAUCACUUUAUACGAGAUCAUGUUAAUAAUCAUGAUGUAAUAUUAGAAUUUAUUAAUACGAAACAUCAAUUGGCUGAUAAUUUUACAAAGCCCUUAAGUGAAGAACAAUUUGAUUUUAUUAAAAGAGAAUUAGGAAUGUUAAUUUAUCCGAAUGCAUGAAUUUGUUAAAUUUCAUUUUCGGACUUUCUUGAUUCUUUGGAUCACUCACUUAAAUCUUCUCCUCUUAUGAUACGAAUUUUACAUGAUGAUGUAAAUAAGAUUGUGUGCUUCACGACAAUAAAAUGUUUACUUUGAUGUUGGAAUUCUGUGCUUUGAUGCUGAAAAUUUAUAUGAUGUUGUGAUCUCUUUAAAUGAUGAGCAUGUUAUCAUACAAUAAUGCAAUAUCGUGUUUACUUUGAUGCUGAAAAUUUCUAUGAUGAUUAUAAUCUCUAUUGAAUAUUGAGAAGUUUUAAUCAUAUAUGAUGCAAUAUCGGAUUCUUAACUUUUGAGUGCUACAAGCACUAAUGAUAUUACCUCAUGCAAGUAGUGAUGAAAGGCUAUGACGAAACAUUUUAUAAAUGCAUGAAGUGUUUAUACAUUUAAAUAUCUUGAUGUUUGAUACAUGGAAGUCAUUGACAAAUGCAUCUCUCACAGAUUUCACUAUUAUGAAUUUUUAAUAAGAUGAUGUAAUGCUCUUCUCACUAUGAAAUUUUAUUUGUAAAUUUCUCCUUCAUGUGAUACUCCUCUCCCAUGAAUAUUUUCUUAUUCUUCUCAUAAAAAUUGAAGGAAUUCCAAUAGAUAUCUUAAUCCUUGAAAGAUGAAUUUUCGUGUGUGAUAAUUAUUUGCAAGAUUAGGGAUUUGAUUUCAUAUAGAUAUCUCGAUCUUUUUCAUGAAUCCCUUCUCUUUGUCAAAAUUAAAGCAUGUUUCAACGAAAACUAAUUUAUUAUUUUUGACUUGAUUCAAAUCAUUUUACAAAUUUAGUUCUUAAUGGAUUCCCUCCUUACCUUCUUUCCUCUUCUUUAUGCAAAAUGUGAUGACAAAGGGGGAGAAGUUGUUGGAAUCUAUUGCUUUAAUGUUGAUAACAUUUAAUGAUGAGAACUAUUGAGUGUGAAACUUGCUUGAUUUUUUUUUUACCACACUUGUAUUGUUGAAUUUUUCUCCUUUUUUUUUAUGACAAAGGGGGAGAAAUAAUACCAAAAUGUGGUAAAUUGAUGACAAAUGUAUGUAAUGUAUUUCAUCAUAUAUACUUAAAAUGUUUGCUUGAUAAAUUUCUUUCAUUAUGAUAAGAUAUCUAAAACUUAACUUGCUAUUUUACAAUUGAUAUCUUGCCAUAGAAUGAUGAAUUACUAUCUUUGUCAUCUUUCAUAUUUGAAAUAUCAUACUUGAAAAUGAAUGUUAUGACUUGACAUCAUACUUGGCAUCGUAUUUUGAGAAUAAUAGAUCAUGAUAGGAAUCAUGAUGUGCAUGUGAUAAGUUUAAUGAACUUAUCUUAUCAGUUUGUUUCUUGAAUUCAAAGGCCUUGAAUUCAAGAAUGUCUUUUCUCAAGUAUGGCAUAUAGAUAGGGGGAGUUAAGGUUAACUCCCUCAUCAAUUGAUUGUUAUCAUCAAAAAGGGAGAGAUUGUUGAAUCUCAGAUUUUGAUGAUGAAGUCAAUUCUAAUCUAUAUGUUGAGAAAAGUGUGCAGGAUUAACUACGAUAGCAGUAAAACAUAAAGCAGGUGUUGUGCUAGAGUCAAGAUCGAGGUCUCAUUGGGAGUUCGAGAGUUUGUCGGAAGUCCAAACGUUCGUCGGAAGUUCUGUCGGAACUAACCGAGAAGUCUAGGAGCUUGCCAAAGAAGCUCGUCGGAACUCGCCAAGAAAAUCGUCGUAAAGUUCAGGAACUUGCCGGGAGUCCGCUGGAACAUUACCGAGAGUUCGUCGGAUGUUCGUCGGAAGUACGCCGGAAGAGCAAUUGACGCACCGGAACAAGAAGCGCUGUAAUUAUGUCUUAGUUAUCGUAGUUAGAGGAUAAAUUAAGUUAGGAUUGGGAGGUAAUCCCACUAACUUAAUUAGGGGCCAACUGGGCCCUUAACAGGGCUGAAUUGGGCCGAAUUGAGCUGUCAAUUCAGCCCUUGAAAACAUGGUCGGCGGUGGCACCGCUUGGAAAGCGGUGCUCUAGGAUUUCUGGGCGGUGGUACCGCCGACAGUGAAUGCUGCCAGCGGUGGUACCGCCUCUGUCAGGCGGUGGUACCGCCCAGUGUCUGGUCAGCGACGGUAGUACAGCCCAGAAACGGCGAUGGUACCGCCAAUACCUCGGAUUCCGGGGAUGUGACAUUUUUUUACUCCAAUUUUGAAGUCAUUUGGGUCUAUAAAAACCAUACCCUUUUUUGCAUUAAAGGGCACGAAAGUAUUGGCUUAUCUUGAAUUCUUGAGUCUUAAAAGUGUUGUAAAAGUUAGAAAGAGUUCUCCUCCUUCAUCUCUUAGCCUUGUAACCAUCCAAGAAAGAGGAGUGAGCCUUGUAAGGGUUAUCUCAUAAACUCGGGAAAAGGAGAAGCGUUGUAAAGAGGUGUUCGGUCUUCANNNNNNNNNNNNNNNNNNNNCAAUUUUGAAGUCAUUUGGGUCUAUAAAAACCAUACCCUUUUUUGCAUUAAAGGGCACGAAAGUAUUGGCUUAUCUUGAAUUCUUGAGUCUUAAAAGUGUUGUAAAAGUUAGAAAGAGUUCUCCUCCUUCAUCUCUUAGCCUUGUAACCAUCCAAGAAAGAGGAGUGAGCCUUGUAAGGGUUAUCUCAUAAACUCGGGAAAAGGAGAAAGCGUUGUAAAGAGGUGUUCGGUCUUCACCUAUUGAAGGAAGGCCUUUAGUGGAUGCUGGUGACCUCGUCGGAGGAGGAAUCCGAAAGUGGAUGUAGGUCACAUUGACCGAACCACUCUAAAUUUUGGUUUGCUUUUCAUUUGUGCAAUUUACAUUACUGCAAACCUCCUUAAUCUUCUCUUGUACUUUUACGAAAGCUUUCAAGUUCAACUUCUCUCCAAAAUAGAUUGAAUCGAAACCAUUUUCGUCGGAAUCGGUUUUAAUCGAAACGAACAUUUUUCUGAAAUCGCGAAAGUUUUCCGCUGCACUAAUUCAUCCCC
rnacentral:lncRNA from 1 species